GACAGAGGGGGCAAGCGUUGCUCGGAAUCACUGGGCGUAAAGGGCGCGUAGGCGGGACGGCAAGUCGGUCGUGAAAUCCCUGGGCUCAACUCAGGGGGGUCGGCCGAUACUGCCGUUCUUGAGGGAUGCAGAGGAGACUGGAAUUCCCGGUGUAGCGGUGAAAUGUGUAGAGAUCGGGAGGAACACCGGUGGCGAAGGCGGGUCUCUGGGCAUUCCCUGACGCUCAGGCGCGACAGCGUGGGGAUCAAACAGG
rnacentral:rRNA from 1 species